CUUCAUGACCACUACACAGCAAAAUCACCAGUGUUAAAUUUUCAGGGAUGGUGUUAAAUACACAGUGUUGAUGCUGUUUUAACACUAUCUGGUAAUAAAAUAACACUGCCAUUGCUAGGCCAGUGUUAUAUCCACGACAGUGUCAGUGUAAAACAAGGGUGUUACCAGAUUUCACACUGAGCGGUGUAAAUCAAGCCACGCCUCCACUAAACAUUUCCUGUCAGGGAUUUUACCGCCAUUUUCUUUCAAAGGAGGACUGAAGAGAGCAGGUAAAUCUCAUAAUAUUCACAUGGUUUAGCUAAAUUAAACUGUUAUUUCUCUGUCUGACUCUACGCAGCCAUUUGCCAAAAAACCUAAAUAUUUUUCCCAUUUUAUUUCCCCUUUGUUCGUUAUUUGGUUCAGUUUAAUCAGAGCUACCUUGUGUUACGUUGUUCCCUUGUUAGUUUGGUAUAAAGUUAAACUGCUAGCUAAAAGUUUUAACCAAGAAGGAUAAUAUUAACAGGAGAUAUGAAUGAAUGUAAGAAUUGAACCAUGAUAAAACGCGACAUGCACUACAAAUUGAAGGUAUGAAAUUAAGUUAAAUGAAAGCUCGUUUAUUCACCAUAUGAUGCUCGUUAUGAGGUAAUCAUAUAGGCUAGAUACCGUGAGUUAACGAGGUCGUUUACAUGCACGUGAGUGCACGGAUAUCGGUUAAUUAUUCAAAUUACUGAAAAACACGGAGAAAACCGCAACCGCAUCGUCAUGUGUUUUUUUUUAGAUGUAUGCAAACAGGGAAAAUAUCGCCAAACCAACAAUUCAUUUUACCUCAGAAUAUGCACAGAUUGGAUGCAUUGUGUGUUGUAAGCUUUUCGUGGCGCUAGAUGUCAGACAGAUGCAAAUAGCAAAUACAUACGAAAGUGUAAAACGUGUAUGGCAAACAUUUGUUUUUCUGUCAUUAUAGAUGCUAGUUUGGUGAAAGUACACACUGAGUGCUUAAAAUCAUUCAGAAGAGAUGCUGUUUUUAGGGCAGUUUAUUAAAGAAGACCUGACAUGGAUGACUUCCAAUGAGAAACGACUGCUAAUACUUAUAUAAAUUCAUUACAGAAGGACCCUACCAGACUAUAUUUGAAUACGGCAUACCCGUGAAUUCUGGAACUGUUAUUCCUUAACCCAGUUUGGAGGAUAACAGCUUACUACUAGUUAUAAAUAUGCUGAGGUGAUGUAUUGCAAAAUAGCCAACAUACAACAAUUAAAGGAUAAUUGCAGACUAUAUCCUGAUGAAGAUAUGGAUGACCCUCUGUCUGGUCAACAGGAGUUUAAAUAUGGACGGGACAGUGAUGUGGCAGCUCUUCCCUGGCUCAUUCACCUCUUGCCUUCAUUUGUGAAAGGAGGAAAGACUGGAGAGGGUCAAUGUGCAACUGAAGCUACUGAUUGUGCUGUGUGAUGAGCAUCAAUCCAUGCUUUGAGGUGGAUGGAUCAGCACCGCCCUGCCUGAUCUGCGUUGGGAACAAAAGUUGCAUCCAGAAUUUUUGCAUCAUUCUGGACCAAAAAGCCAUUCCCUGCAUGAUGAAGACCACUGAUGCAGCCUUCCACUACAUCAUGAGUAAAACAACUACAGAACUUAAUACCAGGUUGGAACGUAUUUAAGAAAAAUGAAUUGUCUUUUGAAUUGAAAUGUCUGUUUUGUUAUGGAAAAAUCUUUAGUAUUGUGAAGGAUAAGCAUUUCUGCUUGCCGAUAAGGUAAUUGCGAUGUAUUUUAAUGUUCAAGUUUUGAGUAGGGUGGCUAAUUUUUUUUAACUGUCAUUUGAUUUAUUAAAGACCAUAAUAAGUGGUUUUCAUGUCACUGCGCUGUGGUAUAAGAUAACUUUCAUUAUUCCGUACUGUAUUCUGUUUCUAAUUGUAGCUGAGGUAUUUAAAUAAGCAGUGUUAAAUGCAAAGUGUUGUGUGUAUCAAUGUAAAUAUUAAAUGUGAUUUACUUUAAUAAAAAGAGGUUUUGCAAUAUUUCUUGUCAUUUUUCUUUUAUAGAAACAACCCAUUAGCAACAAAAGUGGCUAUUACUCAGUAUUUUAACACUUAACAUUGUUGAAUUCACAUUACACUGGUGUUGACCUUAAAUUAGGAGUGUUAAUUUUUAACACUGUAUUUCUGUGCCAACACCAGUGUAGUGUGGAAACAACAAUGAAUAGUGUUGAACAAAGUGUAAAAUUUAACAAUAUUGAGUGUUAAAUUAACAUAUAAUGGGUGUUGUUAAAUUAACACUACACUUUUGACUAAAUUAACACAGUGUAGUGUGGACACAUAUACACACUUUGCCGGUGUUAAAUUUGACACCGUGGGUGUUAUUUUAACACCAGUGAUUUUGCUGUGUACAAG